GUAUCUGUUUGUCAAGUCUUUCUACUGAAGGAAAUGGACUCUUCAGCCAUUAAGAUAUUGUCUCUGGGUUUGAAAAUGACUACAUGUGUAUAAACGACAGCGGAGAAAGACCCUCCUGUUCCUUCCAUGGCCGCCAGCUGCUCCUUUCAGCCAGUGUCCCUCUCCUCCCCCAUCGCAGGCCAGCGCACAGCUGACUCACAGGUUCCUUGCUGGACCUCUGUUCUAAAAGCAGGUACAAUCUGUUUAAGAUUUUUUUUCUAAGAUUUUUUUUCUAAGAUUUUUACUUGCCAAGAACAAUGGCAACAAGACCAAGAGGAAGGUUUCUAUUCCGUGGGAAGUGGAUGAAGGUUAAAUUGCAGUCCUGCUCGCCUGUCAGACCUUUAUUUCCUGAGUUUCCUUCCAUCUGCAGCAUGAAGCCCAGGGCUAUUUACCCUAAAACUCUCAGUUCUCCGGCCGCCGCCCUACGCCCGGCCUCCUCAUUGUAAGUAAACUCAGUGUAAGCUUCCCAUCCUGACAGCCAGAAAAGCUCCACUUGAGAGUCACCUGGAAUGAGGCUGAGGCAGGUUCGCCUGCCCGGCACAAGUCGGUCAGCCCUUCCUUCCGAAUCCUUUCUUUUCAGAGCAUCUCACACCUGCUGUGGCCUAAUGAGGACUCUCUUAUCCCUUUCUUUUGACCUCACAAAUCUCCCUCUGACUUCUGGGAGGUGGCUGUGUGUGCGCCUGUGUGGGGAUGAACUCCCAGCAGCUCAAAGGAAAUGUAAGUGGGAGAUGGGCCGUGCGCCCGAGCCAGGCACCGUCAGCAGAACAGGGGGAGGCCUGAAGAUAAGAUGCUGUGGCCACUAGUUUGGAAAGAUUAACAGAAAAUUAGUGUCAGAUGCAGAUUCGAGGUGGUUUUUUUGGUUUAAAAUAGUUUGACUUGCAGACUUCAGGCUAAAACUGAAAAGCUCUGUUUACUGAGCUCCAGGUACAAAGAAUACUGGUUAUAGAUUUAGAAGAUAAAUGGAUUAUGACUGUUGCCUGAAUAUUAUGAAAUAUUUAACAUGAGUAUAAGCCAACAAGAGAAAUAAACAUUUUCUUACGACUUUAUAUCAUUUUCUUAAAAAAAAAAUCAGAUUAAUGAUACCAAGAAAUACUGUUUGACAUCUGCAUAAAAUAUAUAACACUUACCUGUUCAGCAAAAAACGAGAAUACAGUAAAUAUAAUCAAUGUUGCUAGCACACAAUGAGUCCAAAACUUCAAUUUGUCUCGAUACACCCUCCUGUUCAGAGAGAAAAGAAGGAAAAUAUGUAGUUAUGUGUAGGGUUUAACUAUCAUUACUUAGUAAAGCUACUAGUUUAGCAAAAACAAUGUCUGGAGGCAAUUCUAAAAUGUUAACAUAAUUAUACAUUUCCCACCUGAGUUCAGAUUUUCAUUGUUAUAGUAAAUAUUAGAAUGAGUAAAAGUUACCCAGGCAGGGGAGAGGACUUCAAAAGAAAAUAAGAAUCUUUAACAAAUUAAACAAAAUCCCCUCUUCCAUUCAUUUGUAUUUGCUCAGUCACCCAACCGACACCUCCUGUGGAUACAGCAAGGUGACAAGGAGAAGUCCCUGCUCUAAAGUACCUGCAAACCUGGGGAGGCGCUGACGUGCAGGCAACUAGCCAUCACACACGUGGACAGAAAUAUCUGUUAUCAAAACAGUGAAAUGAGGAAAGCACCACAGAGAUGGGGACACUCCAUCUGAGCCUUGACGUGGGGAAGGAGAGCCUGUGGCUGAGAAAGGGGAUGAGCGUCAGCAGCCGCUGCAAGCUGCGUCCUGCUCAACUGAGCCCAGUCUGCACGGAGGCACGAGGGCCACUCGGCCGAGGAGAAGCAGAUCACCAAGGACUGAGCAAGCACGUCGAUAGAAUGGGGGAAGCAACAAGCAAGUACUGAAAUUGGCUCUUAAGGUCUAACCACCAAAACAACUUCUCUGGUAGCACCUUUUUAGAAAUGCUCUGAGAGUGCUAGCCAUCUGGCCUCACCUCCCCGAUGAUGCUGUCCGCCCCUCAGCCCAGCCCUCAGCCUCACUGAACAGUCCUGUCACUGGACUCAGAUGUCCGUGCUAGUCCCUGUGCGCGCGGGGCCCGAUCUCAACUCACAACUCCCAUCUCUCGGUUCAAACACUACCUCUACCGUUAGACAUUUCCGUCUGCUCCAAACAGAAAUAAGCCACUCCUGUUUCUCUAGUCCUACUGCUUUUUUUCCUCCAUACUUUCUAUUCAACUGCGCUGUGAACCUAAAAUGUUCUAAAUUAAAAACGACAACAAACAACAACAACAACAGUACCUGGGG